GACGGCUCAGUAACACGUGGAUAAUCUACCCUUAGGACCGGGAUAACCCUGGGAAACUGGGGAUAAUACUGGAUAGGCAAUUUUUCCUGUAAUGGUUUUUUGUUUAAAUGUUUUUUCGCCUAAGGAUGAGUCUGCGGCCGAUUAGGUAGUUGGUUAGGUAAUGGCUUACCAAGCCGUUGAUCGGUACGGGUUGUGAGAGCAAGAGCCCGGAGAUGGAACCUGAGACAAGGUUCCAGGCCCUACGGGGUGCAGCAGGCGCGAAACCUCCGCAAUGUGAGAAAUCGCGACGGGGGGAUCCCAAGUGCCAUUCUUAACGGGAUGGCUUUUCAUUAGUGUAAAGAGCUUUUGGAAUAAGAGCUGGGCAAGACCGGUGCCAGCCGCCGCGGUAACACCGGCAGCUCUAGUGGUAACAAUUUUUAUUGGGCCUAAAGCGUCCGUAGCCGGUUUAAUAAGUCUCUGGUGAAAUCCUGUAGCUUAACUGUGGGAAUUGCUGGAGAUACUAUUAGACUUGAGACCGGGAGAGGUUAGAGGUACUCCCAGGGUAGAGGUGAAAUUCUGUAAUCCUGGGAGGACCGCCUGUUGCGAAGGCGUCUAACUGGAACGGUUCUGACGGUGAGGGACGAAAGUUAGGGGCGCGAACCGGAUUAGAUACCCGGGUAGUCCUAACUGUAAACGAUGCGGACUUGGUGUUGGGGUGGCUUUGAGCUGCUCCAGUGCCGAAGGGAAGCUGUUAAGUCCGCCGCCUGGGAAGUACGGUCGCAAGACUGAAACUUAAAGGAAUUGGCGGGGGAGCAC
rnacentral:rRNA from 1 species